AAAGUUUAUGUUCUUGAGAGAAGUUAUGGAGAUAUAAUUUUGAGAGAGUCUGAAUCUAUAUCUUAGUUUAUUAUUGGGAUUGAUAAUCUUAGAUAUUGAGCAAUGAGAAAUACAAACCAUCAAAUACCAUAAAAUUGCAAACUAUUUUGUAGCAUAUUCAUACUGAAAACAAAAUAUAAUCUCCUGAAAUUUGAAUAUAAUAUCAUAGGCGUACCCAUGUGCGGAGGAAAUUAUGAAAUUCCAGUCGACGGCGGCGACCUGCAGAGCAAAUUGGCAAACAAAAUAUUGCUUCUUUAAUCCAUAAUAAUGUCAAUCUUAUUUGCAUAUAUCCUUCCAUGACCAAAACAUGGAUAUCCUUACCUUGAUAGAUCACCUUCAAGCUUCUCUGCCCGACUAAUUAAGCGAGAAAUCGAACGGAAUGGUUCUCUUCGAAGUGUUUAACUUGUCGGGUGACCUGGACAUAUUAUAACCAGAAAAGUAUUCAAAGGGCGAGCAACAUUAUAAGCUCGCUGGAAACUUAUGAGGAGUCCAUAUGCCAGCAUAUGGUUAGAAAGCCUAAAACUCUUUAAGUCAGUCUUAUCUUGGUAAUGACAGUAGAGAAAUAAUGCGAUGCUAUUGGUUUAACUCAGCCUUUGUUUUAUAAAAGCUAUAACAUCAACUAAAUUAACCACAACUUUAAUACAUAUAUAAAAACUUUCCCAACAAUUCAAACCAAUAUUAUUAUUCACAGAAUAAAAUAUCCGAACUCAAAAUUUUGACAUAACCAAAUUUUUUUGACAGCCGCAAUUGAGAAUAUUGCUUACGAAUGCACGACGCUUGCUUCCGUAGUGAGGACAUGCAUGCUCAAUUCUCAAACAAAUUCUAAAAGCUGAUAUCUUUUUAGAUAUUAUGAUAACUUGAACACAAAUACUUAUUUUUUUAACAUCCCAAUUAGCCUGAUAUCUUUGAGAACAAUCAGUAGAACCAUAAUAACAAGCUUUAUUAACACCUAUGAUAUUUUAUAAGGAUACACAAGAAUUUACUUGGAUCUCAAUUCAACAAAGACAAGUUGCUUGCUUCUCAUAGUGGCGCUGGUAUAGACGACAUACAAAGCGAGAAUCAAAACUAACCUCAACCGGCCUUCGAAGAGGGGAGGCGGCGACCGGAAAAAAGACUAAGAGCAACGGUGAAGCGCGGCGGACCGGAGGCUCACAGCGGCGGCGAGGUUGUAUGCGAUGGUGCGGAAGGAUGGCUUUGAGG
rnacentral:lncRNA from 1 species